rnacentral:rRNA from 1 species
AGCGAACGCUGGCGGCAGGCUUAACACAUGCAAGUCGAACGCCCCGCAAGGGGAGUGGCAGACGGGUGAGUAACACGUGGGAACGUACCCUUUGGUUCGGAAUAACUUGGGGAAACUCAAACUAAUACCGGAUAAGCCCUUAUGGGGAAAGGUUUACUGCCGAAGGAUCGGCCCGCGUCUGAUUAGCCAGUUGGUGAGGUAAUGGCUCACCAAGGCGACGAUCAGUAGCUGGUCUGAGAGGAUGAUCAGCCACACUGGGACCGAGACACGGCCCAGACUCCUACGGGAGGCAGCAGUGGGGAAUAUUGGACAAUGGGGGCAACCCUGAUCCAGCCAUGCCGCGUGAGUGAUGAAGGCCUUAGGGUUGUAAAGCUCUUUUACCCGGGACGAUAAUGACUGUACCGGGAGAAUAAGCCCCGGCUAACUUCGUGCCAGCCGCCGCCGUAA